rnacentral:rRNA from 1 species
AAUCUUGGGCAAUGGGGGAAACCCUGACCCAGCAACGCCGCGUGAAGGAAGAAGGUUUAAUGAUUGUAAACUUCUGUCCUUGGUGAAGAGAAGAAGCCGGUAGCCAAGCGGUAAGCCUCGGCUAACUACGAGUCAGCGUCCGCGGUAAUACGUAGGGGGCAAGCGUUGUCCGGAAUGAUUGGGCGUAAAGGGCGCGUAGGCGGCUUUAUAAGUCUGGAGUGAAGGUCCUCUUUUCAAGGGAGGAAUUGCUUUGGAAACUAUAGAGCUUGAGUGCAGGAGAGGUUAUCGGAAUUCCCGGUGUAGCGGUGAAAUGCGUAGAUAUCGGGAGGAACAUCGGUGGCGAAGGCGGGUAACUGGACUGCAACUGACGCUGAGGCGCGAAAGUGUGGGGAGCAAACAGG